CUCCAGUCCCAGAUGUCGCUACUCACUUACAACACUUACAACAAUUAACACAAGGCUUCCAACAAGCUCAACAAAUGUUACAAGAAAGCCAACAAAUAAAAAAAUAUGCUGUUCUCAAAAGAAUAAGCCUCCGGUAUACAAGGAAAAUCAACUUGUCUGGCUAUCUACAAAACAUCUCAAGUUCUCUUGUCCAACCAAACAGCUAGGUCCCAAAGGACCUUUUCAUAUCUCCAAACUUAUUUUGCCUGUUGUAGUACGAUUGGAGCUACCACAUCAGUACUAUAUUUAUCCUUCUUUCCACAUUUC